UCAGUCCCGAAAGAUGGUG
rnacentral:snRNA from 1 species